CCUACGGGUGGCUGCAGUGGGGAAUAUUGGACAAUGGGCGAAAGCCUGAUCCAGCCAUGCCGCGUGUGUGAAGAAGGCCUUCGGGUUGUAAAGCACUUUCAGUGGGGAAGAAAGCCUUGGGGCUAAUACCCUCGAGGAAGGACAUCACCCACAGAAGAAGCACCGGCUAACUCCGUGCCAGCAGCCGCGGUAAUACGGAGGGUGCGAGCGUUAAUCGGAAUUACUGGGCGUAAAGCGCGCGUAGGCGGUCUGAUAAGCCGGUUGUGAAAGCCCCGGGCUCAACCUGGGAACGGCAUCCGGAACUGUCAGGCUAGAGUGCAGGAGAGGAAGGUAGAAUUCCCGGCGUAGCGGUGAAAUGCGUAGAGAUCGGGAGGAAUACCAGUGGCGAAGGCGGCCUUCUGGACUGACACUGACGCUGAGGUGCGAAAGCGUGGGUAGCAAACAGGAUUAGAUACCCUGGUAGUC
rnacentral:rRNA from 1 species